UGAGGAAUAUUGGGCAAUGCCCGAAAGGGUGACCCAGCAACGCCGCGUGGAGGAUGAAGGUCGUAAGAUUGUAAACUCCUGUUAGAGGGGAAGAAUAACUAAGUUUGGAGCUUAGUAUGACUGUACCCUCAGAGAAAGCCCCGGCUAACUACGUGCCAGCAGCCGCGGUAAUACGUAGGGGGCAAGCGUUGUCCGGAUUUACUGGGUGUAAAGGGCGCGCAGGCGGAAUGGAAAGUCAGUGGUGAAAUCCUACAGCUUAACUGUAGAACUGCCUUUGAUACUUUCAUUCUUGAGUUCGGGAGAGAGAGACGGAAUUCCAGGUGUGGUGGUGAAAUACGUAGAUAUCUGGAAGAACACCAGUUGCGAAGGCGGUCUCUUGGUCCGAUACUGACGCUGAGGCGCGAAAGCGUGGGGAGCAAACA
rnacentral:rRNA from 1 species